UACGAGGGGGGCGAGCGUUGUUCGGAAUUAUUGGGCGUAAAGGGCGCGUAGGCGGUCGGAUAAGUCUUGUGUGAAAUCUUCGGGCUCAACUCGAAGUCUGCACAGGAAACUAUCUGGCUUGAGUGUGGGAGAGGUGAGUGGAAUUCCUGGUGUAGCGGUGAAAUGCGUAGAUAUCAGGAGGAACACCGGUGGUGUAAACGGCUUUCUGGACCAUAACUGACGCUGAGGCACGAAAGCGUGGGUAGCAAACAGG
rnacentral:rRNA from 1 species